UCUCCCGCUUCACCUCCCUGAGCGGGUGCCUUGACCACGUUAAGGCAUUUUGGCCCCCGGACCCCCCUUAUCCGGGGGCCCUUUGUUU
rfam:Dechloromonas denitrificans strain ATCC BAA-841 contig010, whole genome shotgun sequence.